UGACCUUGGGCCUGUUACUUCCCCUCUCCUGGAAUCCACUGUAAAAAUGGGAAUGAGCACAUAUUCUUGCCUCUUUCACCGCUGGAUUUGAAAUACAUGCAUGUUCUCAGUCUACUGAAGACAGUGUUCUGCUAGGUCAUGCCAUGACCACCCGCUGACCCCUACACCCCAGGAGGAGGCCGUACUAGUGAAAUAACUAAGAGGAUCAUUAACCUGGAUUUCAGAAUUAUAACCUGGAACAUGGAAAGUCUUCAAGCCCCUGGAAAGAAGUGGCAUGGGCUGGAUCCCUGGUUGGAGAACUAAGAUGCCGCAUGCACAGGAGGGCCAAGAAAAAAAAAAAGGAAGCCACCUCAGUCUAAUAGCCUUGUUUAAUUAAUUUCACAUGGUUGGCCAUUUUCUUUUAAUUUUUAAUUGGAGAAUAAUUGCUUUACAAUGUUGUGCUGGUUUCUGUCAUAGAACAAUGUGAUCAGCCUUAAGUAUACAUAUGUCCCUUUUUUUCUUGAACCUCCUUCUCAUUCCCCGCCACCUCAUUCCACUCCUCUAGGUUAUUACAGAGUACCAGAUUGAGCUCCCUAUGUUAUACAGCAACUUCCCACUAU